ACCGUGGAGCGCUAGCACUCGUAAUCCGCGACGUUCGUCGAGACGCCGACGACUCGGGGUUUCACCUCAAACGGAGGCAGAAGGAACAGCCUAAUUUGCAUCUCCAAAAAAAAAAAAAAAAAUGAAGAAGAAGAAGAAGCCCGGGUCUCGCGUCUCACUGCUGCCGGCGACAGGGAGCCGAACUCGGCGUGUCCGAAAACCUCGCCCGUGCUGCGGCGCGGCUCGUUUCCGCGUCUUCUUUCAUGAUAAACGCUUCCAAAAAGGCGUGCGCGUACCCUCGCUAUCUGUGUCUAUCUCCCCGGGGUCGAGCGGGUGGAGGGGUGGGAGUGGUGGUGGUGGUGGUGCUGGUGGGGUGGGGGCAAGACGGGAGGAAGGAAAAUAAUACGAACACCCCCGACGAGCUACAUGUGUGAUAUUCUCAUCGCUUCCGUCGUCAUCCUCCGGCUCCUUUUCGUGCGUUGCACCAAACUCACUGCGGCCGUCCUCUCGGCCGGAUGUCCCUCCAGCUCCGGCCCGAUACCCCGCGACGUGUCCUCCUUAUUUGCGAUGGCUGUCCCUCGCUGUGUUUCUCCUCCAAAGGGCCUUCUCUCUCGCUCUCUCUCUCUCUCGCGCUUUUGUUGCUCAAAACGUGUUAUCAGCCCCUCACAUCACCAGCGAGCCUCCAAACAACUGCGCACCGGCGCGUCUUUAUUUUAAGCUCCCGGCUCCUCGGCUGCCGAUGGAUCCCUUCAAAAAAAAAAAAAGUGAAGGAAAGAAAACGGAAACGUGACCAAGAUGCGAAAAGUCCCUUCGACGUGUAUCCACGUUUCUUGCAGGUGAAAAGGCAAAAAAAGAGAGAGGAAAGCCAGCCCUGCUGUCAGGCGACGUCUACGCGCGCGCGCGCGGGGCCUAUGCGAGUACUCACACGGGCUGCACACUGCCGCACAAACCGAUGCGUACAAAUGCCCCUCCUGGAUCCGAGUAGCCCGACUACAUGGAGGAGAUAAGACGGCGCUGAAGAGAGACGGGGUGGGGCCACCCGGCGCUCAUUGAACCCUGGGAAGGAAGGACCGAGGGAAGGAGGAGAGGAGAGAGGCCGCUUCGCCUCGUCACGUGGGCCGGGCGCGCAGCAGCGUCACCGGCGCGGCUCUGCGGAGGAAAAACGGCGCCCUCUUCGAAGGAGAACGGCCGCACGCGGUUGCGCAGGGUGGGCGUCCAUGUGUACGGAGCUGCUGCGCGGGCCCCCCCCCACAGAGGACACGCCUCAAACCCGCCAGCCCUAACCCGAAUAAACAAUUAAAUACA